UACGGAGGGUGCGAGCGUUAAUCGGAAUAACUGGGCGUAAAGGGCACGCAGGCGGGGUUUUAAGUGAGAUGUGAAAUCCCCGGGCUUAACCUGGGAAUAGCAUUUCAGACUGGGAAGCUAGAGUACUGUAGGGGGGGGUAGAAUUCCACGUGUAGCGGUGAAAUGCGUAGAGAUCUGGAGGAAUACCGAAGGCGAGGGCAGCCCCUUGGGAAGGGACUGACGCUCAUGUGCGAAAGCGUGGGGAUCAAACAGG
rnacentral:rRNA from 1 species